AGCGGCGAAAGGGAGAGUAACGCGUGGUUACGUGCCCUCGAGACCGGGAUAGUGUUGGGAAACUGGCAGUAAUACCGGAUAACAUCUUCGGAUCAAAUGGUGUGAUUCCGCUCGAGGAUCGGACCGCGUACUAUUAGCUUGUUGGCGGGGUAACGGCCCACCAAGGCUGCGAUGGUUACCGGGUGUGAGAGCAUGGCCCGGCUCACUGGGACUGAGACACUGCCCAGACAUCUACGGAUGGCUGCAGUCGAGAAUCUUCGGCAAUGGACGAAAGUCUGACCGAGCGACGCCGCGUGCGGGAUGAAGGCCCUCGGGUUGUAAACCGCUGUCAGUUAGGAGGAAAUCCAUGAGGGUUCUCUCUCAUGGUUGACCGAUUUUCAGAGGAAGGACGGGCUAAGUUCGUGCCAGCAGCCGCGGUAAGACGAACCGUCCAAACGU
rnacentral:rRNA from 1 species